AACGCUAGCUACAGGCUUAACACAUGCAAGUCGAGGGGAAACGAUAUUGGAAGCUUGCUUCCGAUAGGCGUCGACCGGCGCACGGGUGAGUAACGCGUAUCCAACCUGCCCACCACUUGGGGAUAACCUUGCGAAAGUAAGACUAAUACCCAAUGAUAUCUCUAGAAGGCACCUGAAAGGGAUUAAAGAUUUAUCGGUGAUGGAUGGGGAUGCGUCUGAUUAGCUUGUUGGCGGGGUAACGGCCCACCAAGGCGACGAUCAGUAGGGGUUCUGAGAGGAAGGUCCCCCACAUUGGAACUGAGACACGGUCCAAACUCCUACGGGAGGCAGCAGUGAGGAAUAUUGGUCAAUGGGCGAGAGCCUGAACCAGCCAAGUAGCGUGCAGGAUGACGGCCCUAUGGGUUGUAAACUGCUUUUAUAAGGGAAUAAAGUGAGUCUCGUGAGACUUUUUGCAUGUACCUUAUGAAUAAGGACCGGCUAAUUCCGUGCCAGCAGCCGCGGUAAUACGGAAGGUCCGGGCGUUAUCCGGAUUUAUUGGGUUUAAAGGGAGCGUAGGCCGGAGAUUAAGCGUGUUGUGAAAUGUAGAUGCUCAACAUCUGCACUGCAGCGCGAACUGGUUUCCUUGAGUACGCACAAAGUGGGCGGAAUUCGUGGUGUAGCGGUGAAAUGCUUAGAUAUCACGAAGAACUCCGAUUG
rnacentral:rRNA from 1 species